rnacentral:rRNA from 1 species
AGGACGAACGCUGGCGGCGUGCUUAACACAUGCAAGUCGAGCGGAAAGGCCCUUCGGGGUACUCGAGCGGCGAACGGGUGAGUAACACGUGAGUAAUCUGCCCCUAGCUCUGGGAUAGCUCCGGGAAACCGGGAUUAAUACCAGAUACGACCACUUUAGACAUCUGUUGUGGUGGAAAGAAUUUUGGCUAGGGAUGAGCUCGCGGCCUAUCAGCUUGUUGGUGAGGUAACGGCUCACCAAGGCGACGACGGGUAGCCGGCCUGAGAGGGCGACCGGCCACACUGGGACUGAGACACGGCCCAGACUCCUACGGGAGGCAGCAGUGGGGAAUAUUGCGCAAUGGGCGAAAGCCUGACGCAGCGACGCCGCGUGGGGGAUGAAGGCCUUCGGGUUGUAAACCCUUUCAGCAGGGACGAAGCGAAAGUGACGGUACCUGCAGAGAAGCGCCGGCUAACUACGUGCCAGCAGCCGC